UAUGUGAUCGUCUCUCGCAUAUCAAUAAGCGGAGGAAAAGAAACUAACAAGGAUUCCCCUAGUAACGGCGAGUGAAGCGGGAAGAGCUCAAAUUUGAAAUCUUAAAGGGUUUCCCUUUACGAAUUGUAGUUUAAAGAAGUGUUUUCUGUUGAGGUUUUGGUAAAAGUUCUUUGGAAUAGGACAUCAUAGAGGGUGAGAAUCCCGUAUUUGACCUUUACUUUCAACUUUGUGAUACACUUUCAAAGAGUCGGAUUGUUUGGGAAUGCAGUCCAAAAUGGGUGGUAAAUUUCAUCUAAAGCUAAAUAUUGGCGAGAGACCGAUAGCGAACAAGUACCGUGAGGGAAAGAUGAAAAGAACUUUGAAAAGAGAGUUAAACAGUACGUGAAAUUGUCAAAAGGGAAGCGUUUGACACCAGUGUCGUUUUUCUGAAAAUCAAUUAAAGAACUGUUUAUGCUAAGCUGUUUAGACUUUAUCAGCUAACUGUUUAGUUUUGAGCUUUUCUUUAAUGCACUUUUCAGUUAACAAGUCAACAUCAAUUUCUUUUGCUGUAAAAAAGCUUGAGGAAGGUGGCUUGAGAUUCGUCUUAAGUGUUUAUAGCCUCUUGCCUAUGCAGUCGGAGAGAUUGAGGUCUGCAGCGUAGAUCCUUCGGGGCUAAAUGCAUUUGUGCUAAGUUAUAAGCAUUUUAUAGACAACUUGUUGACUAUGAUUUGUCUUGUAGCUUACUCGCUUAUGUUAUUUUACCUACGCUUAGGAUGUUGAAGACUCUACAGAGAUA
rnacentral:rRNA from 1 species